ensembl:lncRNA
CAAGAAUUAAAGCACUCUUUCACAUGUGGUCAGCACAGGAAGGGGGAGCCAUUUACUGUAAAUGCUUCUCUGAUGCAAUCCAACCACCUCUUUCAAAGACAGAAUUCAUCCAAGAAGCCUUAGUCACUUCUAGAAAAAUGCCACUGCUCUGAAUGUACACACAGCAAACCACACGCCUAGAGACAAGAGAUGAGCUGGUUCGGCCAACAGAAAACAGAUCAACAGAUGGGGAGAGAGAUCUUGCCUUCAUCAGAUCCAGUGGUGUCGUUUCUGAGGUUGGCCUUUGAGAAGGAUGCCUGACAGACACGCUACCCUCAUUUACUGUUUCACAAACCAAGCGCAAGGAGAUUUCUCCUCUGCCUACCUGUGAAAGCACUUCCUAAACUGUGGGCCUCUGGUUUAGAACCGGGAACCUAGGCAUAAUUAGUAACUGAGCAACUAUGACUACUUAGUUAGCUAAAAACAUUUUAGAUGCAGGAAAAAAGAGGAAUACUGUAAUUUAAACCUUGAAACUGAAAGUACAACUCAGAGAGGGUGGAUUACACAUGAAGAGGGUGAGACAGGGAAACGCUGAGGAGCAGUUGGGUAGAAAAGCACAAGGAAAGCAGUUCUAAGCUCUUCAGAAAGGACACAUUUCCCUAAAACCCCAAAUCCACCAGACGAAACUAGGGGAGGAGGAUUCCCCCUGUUUCUGCUUACCCGGGACACCUUGAGUUCUUCUGGGGGCAGGAUGUGUGCCCUUGCUUUUCUGGAGGAGCCAGGGACGACUCGAGGCUGUGUUCUGCUGAAGACGGGAAUCCCCUUGAUGAGCGAAACCGCACAAGGUAAUAUAUGUGGUCUGAGCAAGCCAUUGGCUACAGGAGGCUGAGGCGUGUGCAAGUCUCAUUUGCUAGCCUCCGGGUAAGCUCCUCACAGCCCAUCAUCUCAGGAGAAGACGCAGGGUGCACUAUGCUCCAGCAGAGUCAAAACUAGACAGGGUUCGUUGUUUCCGUGGCACUCUCCCCGGCCCAGAGGAAACCACAGCCGACCACAGGAGAUCUGGCUCCUUCACCAGGCGAAAAAGAAUUAGGAUGUCGACACCGGCAAUUUACCAACGAAUCACACACCAAUGCCAGAGCUUGCUGUCUUUAUACAGACUGCCUGGGAGUCAGAUGGAGGUACAGGCAAGGCCAACAGCUCUAUCUCCCCACGUCUGCCACUCUCUAAAGCCACUGCAAUUUCCGGCCAGUGACACAAAGCUUACCUACUGAAGAGGGACAGAGACGGCAUGAGGACACAUGGCAGCUAAUAAAGGAGAAAGAGCACAAAGUUCAAGACGAUUGAGGAGCAAUUCUUCAGCGAGGCCUCUGGCAGAGGUUACUAAGAAACACCAUCAACAAAAAGGAAAACACACACUUGGCCAAGGACGUCCUCAGCUGGUACAAUGAUGGGAAACAUACUCAAAAGGCCGAGUUCACUUCAGGGUGCCACCACAGCUCAGGGGCUGCCAGUGAGAAGUGUGAGCACUGCAGAAGAAGGCCUUCCUGCUGCUGCCUUUCUCAAAUCCCCGGGACACGAAGGACCACUGC